AGAAUCAACAGGGGUACUGGCCUCUGGGCAUACCUUGAGGGGAUUUUCUUAAUCAAGUUCAUCCACUAUGGGCACCACCAUGCCCUUGCUUGGAUCCUGGAUAGAAGUGGAGAAAGUGAGCUCAGCAGAUGCGGCCUGGAAGCUGGAAGUUAUGAAGACUCAGUAGGCAGAUGGGGCCACAGCAGCCAGGGAGACAACAAGGGACUCUGGCUCUACGUGGACAUUGACUCAUUAUGUGCAUGCCAUGGAAACACAGCCCAGCAUCCUAAUAGCCCUCUCUCAACAAUAAAUAAAGUCUUUGUCUCUUCG
rnacentral:lncRNA from 1 species